GAACACAAUCCAGACGUUUCAAACGAUUAAGACAGAAGUAAAACCACAAAGGACCAGAUUCCAAGUUGGAGAUGCCAACAGUGUAGGGCUGAGCAUGCAAUGCACAGUGAUCCUCUGUGAAGGGUGCCUCUUCCUAGGUGACCGACAUCCUGCCUUGAUCUGCCCUCUUGUGACAAGUGCCUAAGGGAUCCCAUUUCCACUGCGAGUCCAACUGGGAAGCCCUUCAUGCACAUAUGGCCCAGUUGCUUCCUCCUCAACAAAGGCAUCAGAACAAUGUAACUGCAGAAACACCUGCUGGCAUCACCUGGAUUUGGGUACAAAGAUGGUCUUACGAUGACUCUAGAAUGAGAUGAGUAUACCGUAAAGAAGACAGAUCUCAUCUAGAUGAUAUCCUUUUUAUGGAAGGAAGCUAAACCUGUUAUAGAAGAAGUCAACUGGAUUUAUCUCUGUGAGGAUGAAGAUAUUUUGAUUUGUAUAUGUUGUUAGAAUUGUAAAGAGGCCCACUCUACUUUUGUGAGGUAUUUGUAAGUCCCCUUCAGUUAUUUUAGUUAGAAUCUUGCAUGUAAGGGAAAACUGUAUCAUAAUGUAAAGAAAUACUGUUUUUAACCUGAACUGUGAAAAUCCUACAGAGCGGAAACCUGAAAGGGGAAUUUUUUUACUAUAAAUUGAACAACUGUAUUUCUCUUUUUUCAAAAACGUCAUGCUUGUGAAUAAAUAAGAAUUUCAGACUGGAAAAGUGUCCUAUUACUACUUUGCUUGUUACAAACAGAACAUUGUACUACAGUAGUGUCUUCAGCAGAUAGGCCAUGUACUCCUUUUAUAGUAUGGUUUUCCCAGAAACUUCCUUCUUUCCUUGAGUUGUAUUUCCCCACUAGACCCAUUCUACAGAGUAUCAAACUACAUAAGAGCCCUGUGCUGUUAUGGAGCUUGUUAAUUACUCUGAGUAUAGGUAGCUGUGAAUGUAGAGAUCAGCUCUUAUGUAUACUGAAUGUGGAUGCUGAGUUGUGUUAGAACAAUGGAGGAAAAGCUUGAGGCAUUAAUAAAAUCUGCUGCCCUUCAGAAAAUGUGUGCAGCCUCUUUGCAUUAAAGAGAGAACUGACCAACACUUGGUCCAGAUUAACAAAAGUAGUGCAUUAACUGACCAACACAUGAUCUAUCUGUAGAAGUGUGCUGCCACAGAUCAACAGAUAAUGAACCUCUAGCAGCUGAUUUCAUCCCUGGGUAACCAGCCAGCCCCUUCUGAUGAGUUCACAAUUCCAGUUCAACCACUGCAAAGUCUGGAACAGAGGAUGACUGAGAAGUGUACCUAGUUGCUUUUGAAAAAUGUUUAGCUAGGGAGAUUAUCCCCAGACAAAAUUAGUCAGAAUUCUUUUGUCCUACCUAACUGGAACAGCACUGAAAGCUUGCAUGGAUUUGGAAGACUAUGAUGCAGAUGAUUAUACUAGUUAAAUCACAAUAUAUUUGCAAGCAUAAAGCUAGUAUGCAUAAAAUUGGAAUGAUAUCUGUACCUGGAGAUAAGAGAACACCCUGUAAAAUAUGUAGAAAUGCAGACAGUCUUGAAUAAAGUUUUACAUCCUGUAGCACUGAUGCCUAAUUUGUUUUAUGAUGUAAUCACUGGCCAGGAUUAUCUCUAGUUUAAUAAAAAUUAUGUACAUUUUAAUGAAGAAGGUUCAGCCAGAUGUAUU